CCUACGGGAAGCAGCAGUGGGGAAUAUUGCGCAAUGGGCGAAAGCCUGACGCAGCGACGCCGCGUGAGGGAUGAAGGUCUUCGGAUCGUAAACCUCUGUCAGCAGGGAAGAACGGUCACUGUGCUAAUCAGCAGUGAAUUGACGGUACCUGCAAAGGAAGCACCGGCUAACUCCGUGCCAGCAGCCGCGGUAAUACGGAGGGUGAGCGCGUUAAUCGGAAUUACUGGGCGGAAAGCGCUCGUAGGCGGUAUGUCAAGUCAAGGGUGAAAUCCCCGCGCUUAACGUGGGAACUGCCUUUGAAACUGGCAAACUUGAGUGUGUGAGAGGAUAGUGGAAUUCCAGGUGUAGGAGUGAAAUCCGUAGAUAUCUGGAGGAACAUCAGUGGCGAAGGCGACUAUCUGGCACAUAACUGACGCUGAGGAGCGAAAGCGUGGGUAGCAAACAGGAUUAGAUACCCUUGUAGUC
rnacentral:rRNA from 1 species